UGAAGGUAUUCCAUGGCUAUUACAAAGAGGUAAGGAGACAUGGGAUCCUCUUGCCUCAUUUCCCUUCUAGCUUGGAAUAAUUUAGUAAGCCCUUCAUUAAGCAUCAAAGAGUAAGACACAGUUGAUACACAUUCCAUAAUCUAAUCUCAACAAGCAUGGCCUUAAUAAAAGGUCAUUUUAAGGUAUCAUAAGAUUUCCUGUGGUACACUUUAAGAACACAUCUAGGUGAUAUAUUUUUCCUAGUAUACCCAUUGAAUAGCUCAUGACUAAGUAGAACAUUAUUUGUGAUAGAUCUUGUUUUAAUAAAGGUAGACAGUAAGCAACCAAUUACACCAUUCAGCACCUAUUUUAUUCUGUUAGACAGGAUCUUAUCAACUAUUUUGUAGGUGGUGGAACAACAAGUUAUGGUCUAAAUCCCUUAACCUUAUUUGGUGAUGGAACCUUAGGAAUCAGUGUGACAGUUGUGCAGUUCCAACCUCUCUUCAUCUUUCCAGUAUAAAAUAAUGUUGCACAGCUGAAUAGACCUCUGUUCUGAUGAUAGACCACUGCUGUUAGAACAAAUCAAUAGGGUACCCAUCCAUCCCUGGGCUUUUUUAUUUAGGCAUAUUUCUAACCACUUGGUGUAUUUCCUCUGAACUCACCAUUUUUACUAGCUAAAUUUGUUAUUCUCUAGUAAGAAAGACACUACUUUGAUCCCUUCUGAGUUUGGAUAUGGCAUUUUAUUAGCACAAUCACCCAUAAGUGCAGUGAAUAUGUCAACAAAUUCAACCUCUACUUCCUGUGAGCCUAUGAGCUUUGUUCCAAUUUCUAUAUAGAUUGAUAAAAUUGUAUUCUAGGCAGACCUGAUCUGGAGCUGAGCAUGAAAAUAUUUUGUAUUAGCAUCACCAUUAUCAAUCCAACAUGCUCUAGAUUUCUGUCUUAAAACUUGCUCCUCUACUAAGCUUCAUUUUUGAAUAUCCUUUAAAAUAGCCUUUUCCUGGUCAAACAAAUCCUGAUUAUUCAAUUGGAUAGUAACCUGAGCUUAUACUAUUUCCAGUUGUUGUCUAGCCUGGGAAAGAUUUUGAGCAUAAGAAGACAUGUAAGUGUUGAGGUCCUUCACUUGUACUUUGAGUUUCUUAAGUCUCUUCUAGAGGAUAAUCAUAGGGUCCUCUCUCAUAUAUCAACUCCAUACUUUUUGCACACUCUGUUGAAACUCAUGAUGUAGAAAUACUAAAGCAUAAAGUCUGAAAGGCUUUAGAUAUAAGCAUUCUUUGUGUAUACAUUAGACCAAUAUUAGUGAGUGAUCAGACAUUCUCGAGUUCAAGAAAUACACUUCAGUGUGAAAAAUCUUUAUAUCUAUUCAUAAUUACCAAGCACCCAGUCAAUUCUGCUAUAUACUCUAUUUGCAUCCUGCUUUUGUUGGUUCAAGUAAAGUAACUACCCUUUGAUAUCAGUGGUGUUAGCUGCAGAUUAUCUAUCAACUCUUUAAAUCCUUUGAUCUCAUGGUGUGUUACUGGUUGACCUAUUUUAUCAUCAGUGCUCAGGACAUUGUUAAAGUCACCACAUAAUAGCCAGGGUUCAUAAAUAUUCCCACUAAUACAUUGGAUAUCAGGCCACAAUGAUUCUCUUUGAGACAACUCAUUCUUAGCGUAUACAAUAGUGACAAUAGUUAAGAAAUCUAUCGAUACAUUCUGUACCCUACAAUGCACAUAUUGCUCAUGUACUUGCAAUAUUUGUACAUGGAGGUGUUUUUUCCAAAACAACCAGACUCUACCAUUUUCACUACGUGGAAAUUUUUUUACAUAAGACCAUUCUUUAUUAAAUUUUAGAAGUACAUCCUUAGCAUUUCUUUCUUUAACUCUUUUUUCUAAACAACCAAAUACAUCUAUUUUAUUCUUUUUUCAUAAAGAGGAUCACCUCUUUCUGCUUAAAGGGAUUAUUUAACCCUCUUACAUUCUAGGUACAGAUAUUCAUGGAGGUUGGUGAGGUACAACCUGGCUUAGUCUUGAGGGACCAGCUCUAUUAUUUUCUAUUUUAUUCAAUACAUCAAAUUUGUUACCUGGAAACUUGCUUUCCAUACCACUCAUAGUAGCCACUUCAGGUUCAGCUAUCCCAGUAUCUUCCUUCACCUUAUUUUGGUCCUUAACGACAGCUUAAUCUUGUCAAACUAUCCUAGUUGGUAUCAUUUUCUUCCUUCUUUUACCUCUUCUUUUUUGUUUAGGGAGUUUCUUAAAUGCCUCCUCUUCUUGCUCUUUCUAUUUAUCUUGAAUAGGUUCUUUAUUCUUUAGCCAGCAUUCCUCAUCUGUGUGUCCAAAUCUAACAUAAUCAGAGCAGAAUUUCAGCUUUCAAUCAUAUUCAAUCCCUUUCUUAAUGGUACCAAAUGGUGUGUGAAUCUCAAUAGAGUCUAGGAGCAGAUAGGAGAUAUCUACUUUGAUCAAUACUUGAGCAUAGAGAUUCUAUUCAUUUCUACAGUGUACCUAUCAGUAUGAAAGGGUCUUCCAAUUACACUAGCCACCUUGCUUAGUGCCUCCACAGUCCAACAACGCACAGGCAUCCCAGGUAAGUUAACCCAUAGGGGAAUUGUGGUGAUGUAUUCAGUGUCAAAAACAAAAUCCAUUACCCAAUGCUUUAAUAUUAAUGUCUUAUUGUGGUAAGUGCAAGGGCCAGCUUGCAUGACUUUUUUUCUAUCCUCAAUCGAUGAAAAUCGAAAUAUAUAAUAGCCGUCAGCAUGGUACAGGAUUUGGGGAUUUUUCACAAAGUUCCACACUGUAGUUACAAAAUUGUCCAUAAACUUCUCAUAAGGAGUAUCACCAAGUACAUAUGAGUGCAGUCGACCAGUGAUUAUCAGUUGUUUGCAUGUCCUCCAUAAUCAACUUAACCACUUUCUUUUGCUCGCAUUGGUUAGGUGGUUGAUAUGUCAGCAUACUACCUUUGUUUGCACCUCUGUUCAUUGGAGAUUUUGGGACCUCUGUUGUCUUUGUUUUUUGUGUAGCUGGAUUUUCAGAUGUCGAGCUCGUUGAAGAACUAACAUCUGAGAUUUAAAGUCUCUGAGGGGGGGUCACUGUUGAGGUUGAAAUUAAGUUGGGAGGAAGCUACCAAAAGUUAAAGAAGAACAUUUUCGUUAUGUUUCCAUUGCCGUAGUGGCCAUCACUAUCAUGGAGGUCGCCGUAUUACAUCGUCGUCCCAUGUUCGGUGCACGUUAGCUUGCCUUGGCUUAUCGUGUGUCGAAUUUAAUAUUUUUCUUUAUUCAAACAAGUGCUGGUUGGAAUUCGGUCCACGAUUUUCUCAUUUUUUGAUAGGAUAAACCUCAUUAAGUAAAAAUGAAGAUGUUGUGUUGAUAAUGCCCCUAUUUUUAUUUGUUAAUAUUAACUUUUUAAGCUUUGUUUUUUUG